GAUAGAAGAGACUAAGGCAUGAAGAUGAACAUCACAAAACUAGCCAUAUUAGGGUUUGUGUUGGUGGGCAUGCUGAUAAGUGAAGUAAGGGCCGACAAGUUUAGUGUUUGCUAUCACAAAUGUUUUAACAAAUGUGCUUACCCAAAAGCCAACAAAAUGAACGUGACAUGCGGAAUCAAAUGUACUGCGCAAUGUGUUGUAUCGUUCCAUCCCAAACGCGGAGGCAACACCCUUUUACGUCCACAAUCCAAUUCCGAUUCUGAUUCUUAUGAAAUCGAUGAUAGCAAGAUGGAUCCUAGUGUUUAUUGUAAACUUGGUUGUACAGUCCAUUCUUGCGUUGAUUCUCUAGCCGAUGCGUUCAAAGUGGAGAAAUGCUACAAGAAUUGUGCCCGAAGGGUUUGCAAAACUUAGUGGAGACUUAAUUACAAGACUGGCCAUUCCAUGACAACUAACUACUACAUGAUGAUGAGAUGUAAUAGUUAAGUAAACAGUGAUUAAAAAAUUUAUAUGUGUGCGGUUUAUAACAAUCGUUACACACAGAAUCACAAAUUUUUAUUAUUAUUGACUUUUUAACAU